rfam:Solanum tuberosum cultivar DM 1-3 516 R44 scf00387_28, whole genome shotgun sequence.
GUCCCUUUGGGGACAUCCAAUAAAAUUGGCAUGGUACAGAGUGGAUAAGCAUGGCCUGUGCACAAAGAUAACAUGCACAAAUCGCGAAAAGGUCGUCUUCUGU